GUCGUCAGCUCGUGUCGUGAGAUGUUGGGUUAAGUCCCGCAACGAGCGCAACCCUUACUGUUAGUUGCUACGCAAGAGCACUCUAGCAGGACUGCCGUUGACAAAACGGAGGAAGGUGGGGACGACGUCAAAUCAUCAUGCCCCUUAUGACCUGGGCUACACACGUACUACAAUGGCCGUUAACAGAGAGAAGCGAUACCGCGAGGUGGAGCGAACCUCAAAAAGCGGUCUCAGUUCGGAUUGCAGGCUGAAACCCGCCUGCAUGAAGUUGGAAUUGCUAGUAAUCGCGGAUCAUAAUGCCGCGGUGAAUACGUUCCCGGGA
rnacentral:rRNA from 2 species